GCACUGCUGACGAGUCUCAAACAGGACGAAAUAGCUGCGAUCCAGUGC
rnacentral:hammerhead_ribozyme from 1 species